rnacentral:lncRNA from 1 species
GUUAGUGUGACAUAAGGAAAAUUUAGCGCUAUGUUAAGCAAUCGUAAUUGGACUUAUGUAGAAGUCACAACUAUCUGAGGCCGGUCAAUAAUAAUGUAGGCAACAACACAAGUUAGAGGUCUUGAUUAGUGAAUCAAACUCCAACAACUUGCCAUGCCAAAAAGAAAAUGAGAAAUGAUCUUGUAUUGAUUUAGGUUCUUUGCAUGAUUUAGGAAGCAACCUAUCCUUAAUACAAAGCCAUUCACUUGAUC